GAUGAACGCUGGCGGCGUGCUUAACACAUGCAAGUCGAACGGUGAAGGCGGAGCUUGCUCUGCUGGAUCAGUGGCGAACGGGUGAGUAACACGUGAGCAAUCUGCCCCUGACUCUGGGAUAAGCGCUGGAAACGGCGUCUAAUACUGGAUACGAGCUGCGAAGGCAUCUUCAGCAGCUGGGAAGAAUUUCGGUCAGGGAUGAGCUCGCGGCCUACCAGCUUGUUGGUGAGGUAAUGGCUGACCAAGGCGUCGACGGGUAGCCGGCCUGAGAGGGUGACCGGCCACACUGGGACUGAGACACGGCCCAGACUCCUACGGGAGGCAGCAGUGGAGAGUAUUGCACAAUGGGCGAAAGCCUGAUGCAGCAACGCCGCGUGAGGGACGACGGCCUUCGGGUUGUAAACCUCUUUUAGCAGGGAAGAAGCGAAAGUGACGGUACCUGCAGAAAAAGCGCCGGCUAACUACGUG
rnacentral:rRNA from 1 species